rnacentral:rRNA from 1 species
UACGUAGGGACCGAGCGUUGUCCGGAUUCAUUGGGCGUAAAGAGCUCGUAGGCGGCCACUCAAGUCGAAUGUGAAACCUCGAGGCUUAACCUCGAGCCUGCAUUCGAUACUGGGCGGCUAGAGUCUGGUAGGGGGAUCUGGAAUUCCUGGUGUAGCGGUGAAAUGCGCAGAUAUCAGGAGGAACACCGAUGGCGAAGGCAGCUCGCUGGGACGGUACUGACGCUGAGGCGCGAAAGCGUGGGGAGCAAACAGG